rnacentral:rRNA from 1 species
UACGGAGGGGGGCUAGCGUUAUUCGGAAUUAUUGGGCGUAAAGAGCUCGUAGGCGGUUUGUCGCGUCUGCCCGUGAAAGUCCGGGGGCUCAACUCCGGAUCUGCGGUGGGGUACGGGCAGACUAGAGUGAUGUAGGGGGAGACUGGAAUUCCAGGUGUAGCGGUGAAAUGCGUAGAUAUCUGGAGGAAUACCGGUGGCGAAGGCGGCAUCCUGGACCGGUAUUGACGCUGAGGCGCGAAAGCUAGGGGAGCAAACGGG